GGCUCAGAUUGAACGCUGGCGGCAUGCUUUACACAUGCAAGUCGAACGGUAACAGGUCUUCGGAUGCUGACGAGUGGCGAACGGGUGAGUAAUGCAUCGGAACGUGCCCAGUCGUGGGGGAUAACGCAGCGAAAGCUGUGCUAAUACCGCAUACGAUCUAUGGAUGAAAGCGGGGGACCUUAGGGCCUCGCGCGAUUGGAGCGGCCGAUGUCAGAUUAGCUAGUUGGUGGGGUAAAGGCCCACCAAGGCGACGAUCUGUAGCUGGUCUGAGAGGACGACCAGCCACACUGGGACUGAGACACGGCCCAGACUCCUACGGGAGGCAGCAGUGGGGAAUUUUGGACAAUGGGCGCAAGCCUGAUCCAGCAAUGCCGCGUGCAGGAAGAAGGCCUUCGGGUUGUAAACCGCUUUUGGCAGGAACGAAACGGCGUCCUCUAAUACGGGACGUUAAUGACGGUACCUGCAGAAUAAGCACCGGCUAACUACGUG
rnacentral:rRNA from 1 species